AUUGAACGCUGGCGGUAUGCUUAACACAUGCAAGUCGAACGGAAACGAUGGUAGCUUGCUACCAGGCGUCAAGUGGCGGACGGGUGAGUAACGCGUAGGAAUCUGCCCGGUAGUGGGGGGACAACCAGGGGAAACCCUGGCUAAUACCGCAUACACUCUACGGAGAAAAGGAGGCCUCUUCUUGAAAGCUUUCGCUAUUGGAUGAGCCUGCGUGAGAUUAGCUAGUUGGUAGGGUAAAGGCCUACCAAGGCGACGAUCUCUAGCUGGUCUGAGAGGACGAUCAGCCACACUGGGACUGAGAUACGGCCCAGACUCCUACGGGAGGCAGCAGUGGGGAAUAUUGGACAAUGGGCGCAAGCCUGAUCCAGCAAUACCGCGUGUGUGAAGAAGGCCCUAGGGUUGUAAAGCACUUUCAGCAGUGAAGAAAUGCUUAAGGUUAAUAACCUUGAGUCUUGACGUUAACUGCACAAGAAGCACCGGCUAACUCCGUGCCAGCAGCCGCGGUAAUACGGAGGGUGCGAGCGUUAAUCGGAAUUACUGGGCGUAAAGCGCGCGUAGGCGGCCUGAUAAGUUGGAUGUGAAAGCCCUGGGCUCAACCUAGGAACUGCAUUCAAAACUGUCAGGCUAGAGUAUGGUAGAGGGUAGUGGAAUUUCAGGUGUAGCGGUGAAAUGCGUAGAGAUCUGAAGGAACAUCAGUGGCGAAGGCGACUACCUGGACUGAUAUUGACGCUGAGGUGCGAAAGCGUGGGGAGCAAACGGGAUUAGAUACCCCGGUAGUCCACGCCGUAAACGAUGUCAACUAGUUGUUGGGUAUAUAAAGAUACUUAGUGACGAAGCUAACGCGAUAAGUUGACCGCCUGGGGAGUACGGCCGCAAGGCUAAAACUCAAAUGAAUUGACGGGGGCCCGCACAAGCGGUGGAGCAUGUGGUUUAAGUCGAUGCAACGCGAUGAACCUUACCAGAUCUUGACAUCCAGAGAACUUUCUAGAGAUAGAUUGGUGCCUUCGGGAACUCUGAUACAGGUGCUGCACGGCUGUCGUCAGCUCGUGUCGUGAGAUGUUGGGUUAAGUCCCGUAACGAGCGCAACCCUUAUCCUUAGUUGCUACCAUUUAGUUGGGCACUUUAAGGAGACUGCCGGUGAUAAACCGGAGGAAGGUGGGACGACCGUCAAGUCAUCAUGGCCCUUAUGGGUAGGGCUACACACGUGCUACAAUGGCUGGUACAGAGGGUCGCUAUCUUGCGAGAGUACGCUAAUCCCUUAAAGCCGGUCCUAGUCCGGAUUGGAGUCUGCAACUCGACUCCAUGAAGCUGGAAUCGCUAGUAAUCGCGGAUCAGAAUGCCGCGGUGAAUUCGUUCCCGGGCCUUGUACACACCGCCCGUCACACCAUGGGAGUGGGUUGCAAAAGAAGUGGGUAGGCUAACCUUCGGGAGGCCGCUCACCACUUUGUGAUUCAUGACUGGGGUGA
rnacentral:rRNA from 1 species